UACGGAGGGGGCUAGCGUUGUUCGGAAUUACUGGGCGUAAAGCGCGCGUAGGCGGACCUGCAAGUCGGGGGUGAAAGCCCGAGGCUCAACCUCGGAACUGCCUUCGAUACUGCGGGUCUCGAGUCCGGGAGAGGUGAGUGGAAUUCCUAGUGUAGAGGUGAAAUUCGUAGAUAUUCGCAAGAACACCGGUGGCGAAGGCGGCCAACUGGACCAUUACUGACGCUGAGGCGCGAAAGCGUGGGGAGCAAACAGG
rnacentral:rRNA from 1 species